rnacentral:tRNA from 1 species
GCGAGAAUAGCUCAGNUGGUAGAGUACGAGCUUCCCAAGCUCGGGGUCGCGGGUUCGAGUCCCGUUUCUCGCUCCA